rnacentral:rRNA from 1 species
UACGUAGGGUGCGAGCGUUAAUCGGAAUUACUGGGCGUAAAGCGUGCGCAGGCGGCGAGCUGUGUCCGAUGUGAAAGCCCCGGGCUUAACCUGGGAAUGGCAUUGGAAACUGGCUCGCUGGAGUGUGGCAGAGGGGGGUGGAAUUCCGCGUGUAGCAGUGAAAUGCGUAGAGAUGCGGAGGAACACCGAUGGCGAAGGCAGCCCCCCUGGGCUAACACUGACGCUCAGGCACGAAAGCGUGGGGAGCAAACAGG